UACUAGUUUACUUGAUAUAAAUCAGCUGCAAUAUCAGUUUCGAGCCAAACAAGAUGAGGGGUAUACAGAUACUGUUGUUUAUUACCCUUGUGAUGUCAUCGAUAUCAGAUCCAGGUGAUGAACACACUUGCGCUAGUCAUGGAGGACAAUGCGUGUGGAGUCUACCCUGUCCUCAAUCUUAUCAAUAUGAUCAAUAUCACUUGUGUCCUGAUAGACACUACUGUUGUCUUCCUUGAUGUCAUUGGUUAAUACUUGAAUGAAGAAAGUUAUAGUAUAAACGACGAGGAUAUGUUAUUGUUUUUGACAAAUAAAAUUAAAAACAAUAAAAUUUA